GCACUUGCACGCUGUUGCCUAGAAGCAUCCGCAGCAGUGCCAGAAGAGAGCGCAUCCGCUCGUACACGGCUGUUGACAAGCGAACAAAGACAGGCAUGGGAGAAUUGGAAUACCCGGAUGAGAAAAUACCACCCAACGGACGGCGCUGAAAACCAGUGAUGAAGUAAGCCGCACGAUGACAUAUGUGCUGACAAGAGUUCACUCACCCUGGCUUCUCUCUUGUUCCGACACGUCUCUGGCAUGGCGGACCAGCGGGCCCAUGAUGUCGGUCAGCGCCGAGAUGGCCCUGCGGGCUCGUCGCGUCUCUGUUAACAAAGGAAACAGACUGGCUCCUGCAGCCGUGGAACACAAUAAUCGGGAUGUUAAACCGACCCCCAUUGCCCUCAUCUCCUUUUCGUAGAUUUUAUGCGCAUGCGUGGAAACUGUCAUCCGGGGCUUGAGAAUGACCGUCCACAAAAGUAAUCAAUCUUCUUAAAUGAUUUUCUUAAUCUUCUUACACGUAGUUUUGUUUUUAUAGUUUAUAUAAAAAAAGCAAUUAUGUGGAUACAUUCCUGUGUCAGCCAUUUUCAAAAGAUUUGCCGUUUACCCAGAGAAAAAUCAAUUCUGUUUUCGAACAGUAAAAAGCUGCCUCGUUCUCAAUAUGUCUGGUGAUGAUUUCCUUGACAUUUUCUGCUUAAGUAUGAAGCUGAGAUAAAACAAGAUUUUCAUGACAGUCGCGGAAAAAUAAAUUUGAUCGCCUUUAUUCUGUUCUAACACAGGGUAGAUCAAAAGUAGGUAAAGAAUUCCAUCGCACCGUAAUCAGGUCAGUCUUGUAUACUUAGUUUUGGUACACUCUGUAUAUAACUUCUUCGAGCAGACUUAAAACAUUGAAAUAAUGUAAAGAAAAGAUUGACAGAAAGAAAAAAAAAUUAAUAAAUUUGAGGAAAAGAAUGGGUUGGUCAUAAACACACAGAACGCUUUAUAAAAAUAAAAGCUAUAUCCUCUUAGCGCCUAAGAACAAGAACGAACCACGGACAGCAUAGGAGGGACAUGAAAACAAACGAAUAACCCAUGAACUAUGAAAUAAUAAACAAAGGUAAUAAUGAUGAAUAAAAUCAAAUACAGAAAACUCAAUGAGGAACCAAUUCACAAGAACUGAAGAGUAUCAUGGUAUUGCAAAAGGAAGACGAGCAGGGAAGGGUGUGAAAAAGGACUAGCAUUAUGGGAAAGGGUGUUAGGAGUAAUGUGCGUUUUCAGCGAACAUUUAUUCAAUAGUGGGUAGUUGGCGGAUUUGGAGAGAGAGAGAGAUCCAUUGUGUUGCUGCACGGUAACUAAAAAUCGUGUGGCCAUAUGUUGUUGUUAUGGUGACAGGAAGAGUACGAAGACGAUCAUCAGACGAGGAGCGGAGUUCUCUAGCUGGGACUUAAUAGAAUAGCAGCUCAGAGAAAUAAUCAGGGAAAGAGCCAGCAAAGAAAUGAAAACACAGCACGGACAGUUUGUACUGGAUGCCAGAACGGGUGGGUAGCCAGUGCAGACAACGUAACUGCGUCAUAACAGCUCGCAAGAUUCUCAGAAACCAUGAAGUCACAUGACGCUUGAGCGAGAGGUAGGAACCGUGCUACGUUAAUGGGAUAUGGGCAGGGAAUUCAGGAGUUCCGGUGUAAUUAGCGCGUGUAAUUGCCCCAUCAGCCUACUGGCACAACACUGCAUGAAUCAUAUGUGUGAUGCGUGACACAGUAAUG